GGCUCCUUGGUCAAGCGGUUAAGACACCGCCCUUUCACGGCGGUAACACGGGUUCGAAUCCCGUAGGGGUCA
rnacentral:tRNA from 2 species